rnacentral:lncRNA from 1 species
CAUCCAUUAUUAAAUUAUAUUAUUUAGUUAGUUUUCAUUGUUGUUAGUCUUUUAAUUCAAUUUCCGUCCAUUUCAAUUCCUAGUGUCUAAUCAGAUCAUUUUCAUUAUUUUGAGUCAUCCUAAGUGUGUUUCGAGUUAUUAGAGUUUUUAGCCUAGUUUUGUAUCAUUGAGUCUUGUUUAAUAUUUUUAAGUUAAUUUAAUAGAUUAGCAAUCCCUCCUAAUCCCCGGCCUAGAACGAUACCCUACUUACAUCUAUACUACAAUUGUCAAAAAGAGGGUUUAAUUUGUGUGUCAAGAAAUUCUCACACCAAAUUUUGGCGCCGUU